UGAUGUUAUUUUAGGUUU
rnacentral:miRNA from 1 species